UACGGAGGGUGCAAGCGUUAUCCGGAUUCACUGGGUUUAAAGGGUGCGUAGGUGGGCUGGUAAGUCAGUGGUGAAAUCUCCGGGCUUAACUCGGAAACUGCCAUGGAUACUAUUUGUCUUGAAUAUUGUGGAGGUAAGCGGAAUAUGUCAUGUAGCGGUGAAAUGCUUAGAUAUGACAUAGAACACCAAUUGCGAAGGCAGCUUACUACACAGUUAUUGACGCUGAGGCACGAAAGCGUGGGGAUCAAACAGG
rnacentral:rRNA from 1 species